rnacentral:tRNA from 1 species
CAAGGCCUAGUUUAAAUUUCAUAGAACAUCGAGCUGCGAACUCGAAAGUGUAGUGCCUUUU